GACCUGCGGAAGGAUCAUUAUUG
rnacentral:rRNA from 1 species